rnacentral:rRNA from 1 species
UAGUCAUAUGCUUGUCUAAAAGACUAAGCCAUGCAUGUCUAAGUAUAAGCAAAAGUAUACUUGUGAAACUGCGAAUUGCUCGGUAAAUCAGUUGUAAUACACUGGGUAGUAACUUCCUACAUGGAUAACCGUGGGAAACUAGGGCUAAUACAUGCACAACCUCCGACUUUAGGGAAGGGGGGUGUUAAUUAGAUCUGAAACCAGCCCGCCUCGGCGGCUAUGGUGAGUCACAAUUACCUUACGAAUCGCAUUGCCUCGCGCAGGCGAUAUACCCACCGAACUUCUGCCCCAUCAACUUUGACGGUAUGAUAGUGGCAUACCGUGGUAGUGACGGGUAACGGAGAAUUAGGGUUCGAUUCCGGAGAGGGAGCCUGAGAAACGGCUACCACAUCCAAGGAAGGCAGCAGGCGCGCAAAUUACCCAAUCUUGACACAAGGAGGUAGUGACAAGAAAUACGAAAGCUGGGCACGAAGUGCUUAGCUAUUCGAAUGAGAACGCUGUAAAAGCUCUAACGAGGAUCAAUU